rnacentral:misc_RNA from 1 species
AACCAUUCUCACCUGCGGCUAGACCUGCGGAGGGAUCAUUAACGAGCCGUUGAAGCACAUCUUGUGUUCCAAUGUGGCCCAUCCUUGUCGAUUGUACCUGUUGCUUUGGUCGUGUGCUGGCUUGGUGAAUUCUAAAGCACACCAGGUCGAUCGCGACCAGAGGGCACUGCUUGUGUGCGGUGCGGCAUCCCAACCCGGCAGUACAGUUUUACGGUCUGAAACUGUUGUGAGAUAAUAAAU